UCUUAAAAAUAAAAUGCCAUAUCUCCUUCGUCUUUUUGGCCAUGGCCUCCGCCGAGAUCGAUUCUGAUGCUUCGUCGGUGCGCUCCUCUGGAUCACUGACAUGAGGCUCUGGAGAGAGCCUUUUCCUCCUCCGGUGAGAGAUCAUGAAGGACCGUGAGAUCGGUAGGUCCAGGUGUUUCGGAUUCGUCACCUUCAGCAACGACAAGGACAUGCGGAACGGGAUCCGAGGAUGCCAGAGCCUUCAUUUGAGGGUGACCAUGGGAACAACAUGGAAGCCAACCUCACCACUAUCUAUCAAGAUCACAAUGACAGAUUUGCACCAUUACACCAAUUAGUUAUUAGAGGCUGUCUUUUGCAGCAUUCACACUGCCUGACAACUAGUGGACAUUGACUGUUUUCUCACUGAAUCAGGAAAUAUGUUUUUUUUCUGAAAGCAAACUGCCUACCAGUGCUGCAGCUUAUUGCAAUUGAUCUAUAGCCGAUGAAACUUUAGGACGAAGCAGCUGAGUCGGUGGAAUUUCAGUCGAAUAUCUCCGCUUUAUUUUUCAGGAAAAAUGUCUGUAAUGUUUCUUCUCCUCCUCCGUCUGUCAUGGUUCCACCACGUUUAUGGUCCAAUAAGCCCAUAUUACCCCAAAAAUUAUAACGAGUCCAAGUACCUAACGAGGCCCAAUUCAUAGUCGUACAAGUGACAACGUUUAGUCUGAAAACAAGCUAAGACCCAAUUCCUUAACUGGUCCAUUUACAA